rnacentral:rRNA from 1 species
CCCUUAGAUGUUCUGGGCCGCACGCGCGCUACACUGACGAAUGCAACGAGCUUAUAACCUUGGCCGAAAGGUCUGGGUAAUCUCCAAAUUUCGUCGUGAUGGGGAUAGAUUAUUGCAAUUAUUAAUCUUCAACGAGGAAUGCCUAGUAAGCGCAAGUCAUCAGCUUGCGUUGAUUACGUCCCUGCCCUUUGUACACACCGCCCGUCGCACCUACCGAUUGAAUGGUCCGGUGAAAUCUUCGGAUCUGAGAGAUGUCUGAUUAAUUUCGGACGCCUUUUGGAAAAGUUGCUUAAACCUUACCAUUUAGAGGAAGGUGAAGUCGUAACA